rnacentral:lncRNA from 1 species
CAGCCAGCUACUGAACCUUAUGUGUGCCUAGGGGCCAUUUUGAGACAAUUUGCUGAAUAUUAAAAGUACAACCAAUAAUGUUUCUCUCCACAUCCACAAUAGCGCUUAGAGGAAGCAUCUGGGAUUGAGCCAUCUCACAUCUGUCUAAUCACAUUCAUUCAAAUGUGAUGGGCCCAACUGGCCUACGUACAUGGCUGCAUAUCACCAUGGGUGGAAAUUAAAUCAGAAUUUGGCUCAGGAGAGAGAUGAAGAGAAAAUGCACGUAGAUAAUUGGCUCAGAUAACAUUCUGUUUCUGGAAGUCACAAAGAGUGGAAAUUGGAAUAUGUAAAUUAAAGAAAAACAGGCCUUAAGAUCAAGUCCGCAAUGGAAGAAGAGCAUUCAUCUGGUACAGGUUGAUGAUUGUGUAAGCCCAAGGAGUGAUGUCAACACUGGGGUUCACCUGAGAACAUGGACAUGGUUGAUGAGGGUUUAGGAGAUGCUCAUACGAAGUCUUCAUAUGUUCCCUGGAUCCCAGCUCUGCCUUCCCACCAGAGAGGAUGUAAUUCAGCCGAGAUGCCCAGAGUCAGCUCUCUGCUCAUAUCUGUUCCGCACUGAAGCCAAUCAUCUGAGAAACCUAAGAAGUGUUUAAUGUAGUUAGGAAAGUGAGGGAUGAAGACCAUAAAUUCCUUUUCAUGUAGCAGAGUAUAUAUGUGAUACUCAUUCUGUGGUAUUUGGGGCAUAAACAAGAGUCGAUGAAGGAAUGUGAAAGUACUCGAAAUCCUGACUUUUAUCUCUAUAAAAAUGGCAUAGGGAUGAAACACACUUGGUUGUUAUGACUGUACUCUUUUCAGAUUUACUACUUGCCUUUCUACUGAUUUUUCUGUGCCACAGGUCUUGACUCCUGUAGGCUAAAUUUCUCAGCCUCUUCUGCUCACUGAUAUAUGGGAAGGUUUGGCCAAAGGUGGGUGACUGGUGGGGAGAAGGAUGAGGGAAUUCAGGGGAUUGCUGAGCCCAUUCUCUAGACAGUGCUGCUGGCACUGGCUCUGUCUUCUCCGUUUCCAUCUCGCAUCAGACGGUUCUUCCCUCUAUGGGCCUAGUCCUACCUAGACACUUUCCAGUUGGAUUCCAGUUCUGGGGAUGCUCCCUCCUGCAGGGAUCUAAGUCCUUCCCAUUGUCUUCGGCUCCUGGGCUCAGCUAGAACCAUCUUUUCCCAUUGUCCCUGUGGUGCUAGGGCUUUCAGUGGUUAUUAACGUCUGUGUUGUAUCAUCUUGCCUGAAUUUCAGCUCUCUGUAACCAGUUCCCCAAAUAAAAUUCCCCCCAUUUACCUACC